GAUGAAGAACGUAGCGAAAUGCGAUAAGUAGUGUGAAUUGCAGAAUUCAGUGAAUCAUCGAAUCUUUGAACGCACAUUGCGCCCGCCAGCAUUCUGGCGGGCAUGCCUGUUCGAGCGUCAUUUCAACCCUCGACCUCCCCUUGGGGAGGUCGGCGUUGGGGACCGGCAGCACACCGCCGGCCCUGAAAUGGAGUGGCGGCCCGUCCGCGGCGACCUCUGCGCAGUAAUACAGCUCGCACCGGGACCCCGACGCGGCCACGCCGUAAAACACCCAACUUCUGAACGUUGACCUCGAAUCAGGUAGGACUACCCGCUGAACUUAAGCAUAUCAAUAAGCGGAGGA
rnacentral:misc_RNA from 1 species